AGGUGACAUUUGCCUCAAGAUGAUAUCACAAAAAUAAAAGAAAAUGACAGCAACCUAAGGAUUCUGAUCUCAAAGGAUGGGUUGCAGUCAAGGAGACCAUAUGGCGAAUGAUGUGCUCUUGCCACCACAGGUGACGGAAUCUUCAAAGUGGCGUUGUUUCGAGCAUCUCGCCUUGCAUGUGAAAGAUUUCACUACGUGUUGGGCGAUCUUGCCACCACAGGUGUGACCCCGAUGAUGUCAGAUCUUUCCCCAGUUUUUGUUUUCCUGCAGUUAUUGAAAACAAUACUGGGAUAAAUCUGAUUAAUAGUCCAGUUAGUUAGAUUUAAUUAUAUUGUUGGGAAG